CCAGACUCCUACGGGAGGCAGCAGUGGGGGAUAUUGCACAAUGGGGGGAACCCUGAUGCAGCGACGCCGCGUGAGGGAAGACGGCCUUCGGGUUGUAAACCUCUGUCGCAGGGGACGAAGGAGAUGACGGUACCCUGUGAGGAAGCCACGGCUAACUACGUGCCAGCAGCCGCGGUAAUACGUAGGUGGCGAGCGUUGUCCGGAAUUACUGGGUGUAAAGGGAGCGUAGGCGGGAUAUUAAGUUGAAUGUAUAAACUACCGGCUUAACCGAUAGAAGCGUUCAAAACUGAUAUUCUUGAGUGAAGUAGAGGCAGGCGGAAUUCCUAGUGUAGCGGUGAAAUGCGUAGAUAUUAGGAGGAACACCAGUGGCGAAGGCGGCCUGCUGGGCUUUAACUGACGCUGAGGCUCGAAAGCGUGGGUAGCAAACAGGAUUAGAUACCCGAGUA
rnacentral:rRNA from 1 species